rnacentral:rRNA from 1 species
AUUGAACGCUGGCGGAAUGCUUUACACAUGCGAGUCGAACGGCAGCACGGACUUCGGUUUGGUGGCGAGUGGCGAACGGGUGAGUAAUGUAUCGGAACGUGCCCAGUCGUGGGGGAUAACGUAGUGAAAAUUACGCUAAUACCGCAUACGAUCUAUGGAUGAAAGCGGGGGAUCGCAAGACCUCGCGCGAUUGGAGCGGCCGAUAUCAGAUUAGGUAGUUGGUGGGGUAAAGGCCCACCAAGCCAACGAUCUGUAGCUGGUCUGAGAGGACGACCAGCCACACUGGAACUGAGACACGGUCCAGACUCCUACGGGAGGCAGCAGUGGGGAAUUUUGGACAAUGGGCGAAAGCCUGAUCCAGCCAUUCCGCGUGCAGGAUGAAGGCCCUCGGGUUGUAAACUGCUUUUGUACAGAACGAAAAGGUUUCUACUAAUACUAGGAGCUCAUGGCGGUACUGUAAGAAUAAGCACCGGCUAACUACGUGCCAGCCGCCGCGGUAA